rnacentral:lncRNA from 1 species
CGACGCGCACUGUAUAGCUGCAUAAGCUGCUCGUAGGGCACGUCCAGCAUCUGGUCCAGGCCCACACCGCGAAAAAAAGGUUUACCACAGUGGCUCAAGGAAAACGGAACCAGAGUAAGACAGUUUCUACUUGGACUUGGGGAACCAGCAAACUCAUUCACUUACAAUCAAGAACAAACCGAUUAAAUUGAAUAAAGGUCACUCAAAGGAGCCAAGCCCCUUUGUCAAAUCAGGAGCUCCAUCAGCCAAUCAGGAACCCAGAUGCCAGCGUGGGAGUUUGUCAGUGGAAAUAACAUUGCAUGACUUCCAAGUCUGGUUUCUUCAUUUGCAAGAUAUCAACCCAAUAGGAUUGUGACUGAAAUCAAAUGAGGCACCCAAGUCUAAUAUGAGAAAAACAUGAGAAAAAUUCCAGGAGGGGGACAUUCUACAAAAUACCUGACCAGUACAUCUCAAAAUUGUCACGAUCAUCAACAAGGAAAGAUUGAGAUACUGUCAUAGCCAAGAGACGCCAAAGGAAAAAUGACAACUAAAUGUAAUGUGGUAUCCUGGAUAAGAUCCUGGAAUGGAAUAGAAAAUGGGCAUUGGGUAGAAACUGAAUAAAGUAGAGACUUUAGUUAAUAACAGUAUGUUGAUGUUGGUUUAAUAAUUGUAACAAAGGUACCAUAUUAAUGUAAGAUGUUAACAAUCAGAGUAACUGGAUUCAGGGUAUAUGGAAACUUUCCAUUCUAUUUUCUUAAUUUUUCUAUGAAUCUAAAACCAAAAACUAAAGUCUACUUAAAAAAAAAAUCACAGGAGGCAACAUACAUAAAAGCAUAUAGUUGGUGCUCCAUAAUGUAACCUCUUCUUUUCUGGGCAGUGUGGAAAAACAAACUGUUGUUCAUGUCUUCUGGGAUCUUUUGCCCCUUUCUAAUCCAACCAGAAAGGUUCUGGGGAGAAUGUAAGUCAUCUCUAUAUUCUCAUCUGCAGGUAGCCAGGGGUGAGAAUAGCUACAUUUACUUAAGUUUAGUCUGUGGAGUAGUUUCUGCUACAGAAUGAUUCUUGUUAGACCCUGUAAGAGUUCUUUUGGCUCAGGUCCCCAGAAAAUAAAUUUACAAACCCUUAAAUCAGUUCAACGUAUCAGGAACGGCCAUAUAAAUCCAUUCUCGUUGUUUGCAAGAAACUAUUGUACGUUAAAAUAUUUAAGAUUAGGAACGAGACCUAUAUAAAAAUGUUUCUAAGAAAACUUUUUCCUAAACAUAAUAUAUAAGCUAUUUAGACUGCUUCACGUGCCCAGGAUAGAGUUACCCUUUUUUUUUUUUUUUUUUUUUCUGGGUUGGUGGUACUUUACCUCUCUUUUAUUGUACCAACAACCCAAAGAUUAAAUAAUUAAAGACUAUAAUCAGUUCUUUUUAGAAUGGAGGUAAAAAUAUGAAAAAUUUAAAUCCUGUUAUUUUUCCAAAUUACACAAAAAAAUUAACUUAUAAAUCAUAAAGACUUUCAAGUAAAAUUUUACUUUGACAAAGUAGGGAUUCUAGGCAAAAUUAACUGUAUAGUUUGACAACUCUCUUAGAUACCUCUCAACUUAUGAUGUGGAGUGGAAUUUUUAUCUGCACAUUAAGUUUUAAGUCAAUACAACAUUAAGGCAUAAGAUAUCACUUUCUAUACUUGAAAAGGUAUUCCAAAGUUUCUCCAUAUUCUCCCCCAUCAAAGAAGUUGUGCCUAAAAUUCAAACAAUUUGAUCUUGAAUUUAGAUGUAGCAAAAUUCAGAAAGAAUGUCAAUCAGUGGCUUGUCUAAAUUCCCACAGUGUGCUGGGAUUCACAUACUUACUGUUGAGGUCUUUGUCAGGUGGUAUGCCCAGUGACUCUCUGCCCAGGAUUUAAGAUUCCUUAGCUGUAUUAACACAUUUGAAAACAUUAUUCCGAUCAGUAGUCUCUAAGUGCCUUCAUUUUCUCAAGUACAAAAUGGACAUAAUUGAAUAUUUACUACAUCUUAGAGAAGUGUGCAGCUUUCAGCACUCUGAAACAUUUAAGAGGCUCAGGUGAAAGAUUAAAGAAUUAAGUGUACACACCGUCUUUCUUAAUUUUGAUCCACAUGAGUAGUAUUCAGCAUAAUGUAAUACAGCAGGUUACAGAGCAUAAUUUGGUGUAUUGCACAAAAUAUCUCAGAAAGCACUAGAUAGACCUAAAUAGAACCCAAUCACCUACUCUGUUAGUAAGAUUGUUUCAGAGAUAAUAUAGGUAAUAUUUCACAGCUGCUAUUUUUUUCCGUUAAAACACAACAUUUUCCUUGUUUAUUGGGCUGAUUUUGACCUUCAUUUAAGUGAAUAAUUCACUCAUUCCUUGUUAAUAAGAGGAAGUGAGCAUAAAAAAGAAAAAAUAAAAUUCUAGUUCUUGAGGCUAUAAAUUUACCACAUAUAUCUAAAUGAUUUUCUAAAUAGCCUUCAAGACAUAUAUAUAUAUAUAUAUAUAUAUAUAUAUAUAUAUAUAUAUAUAUAAAUGCAUGUAUAAUUAUAUCUAUAUCUGUAUUAUCCCAUAAUGUAAAUAUUAUUUGCUUUCAGGGCAGUCUUUCUUAUGGUUGUUAUGUUGCAUAGUUCAGUAUCAUUUUUAUACAAACCUCUUCCUUUAAUGACUUUAACAAUUCUUUCUGCUUAAAUUCUAGUGGCCAUUGUAUAAAAAUAUUUUUUAUUCUAAAUUACCUAUUGUUACUGAGAAAGAGAAUUCUUGAGUGAAAAACUGAAAUUUGUUAUUUCGAUGUGCACAGUAAGUUAGAUCGAUAGUAAAAUUCUAAAAGGGGAAGAAGAUAAUCUGCUUUCUGAUAUUGUGUCCUUUGUUUCUUCAACCAUUAACAUCUGUGAGCCGCUGUCAGUAAUUUCUUUAAUGAGAUUAUUGUGUUUUUCUUUUAGAAAUGUAACUGUCAAGCAUUUUACAUUUGUCCUUGCUAAUAAUUCCCCAGGCCUUUAUUAAAGAGAUUUACAGAUUUCUUAAAUCCACAGUCCUGCAUCACUCUGAUACCCACUUCUAAUAAAAUAAUAAAUUAGAUUUUAUUCUUUGCUUUAGCCUUACAAAUGAGCAAAUAAAAAAAGUGUUUACUGAAUAAUCUGUCCAAAGCCAAAAUAAAUCAUAUGCUUCUCUUUUUCAAGCGUUUUGAUAGCUAUAAAUGAGCACCUACUUGACAUUGAAUAAAAUGACCAUUUUAACGUAUGCAUUUUUAUCAAAAAGAGAAACUCAUAAUUGGAAAACAAGAAUUGUGAUUCAGGAGCUUUUCAAAGAAAACAUUAAAUAACUGCAAAUUAAUCAAACAUUUUCUCAACAACCUUACUUUCUUACUUUUGUAGGUUUGCCUAAGAAAACAUGUUAAAUUGCGGGAUGCUUUUUUUCCAGUUCUCACUUGAGCAGAUCCGUUUAGCUAAGUAGCUUAAGGUGUAUAAUUUAGAAAUAUUUUCAAACAUCUUCACUAUAACUACAAAAUAAUCAGAUGUUCAUCAUUUAAAAUGAAAUGCUAAACUGUUUGGAAAUAUUCUCUAAAACCAGCAAAAAUCACCAGGCAGAUGAUUUGCCUCUCAGUGUCUUCCUCUCUACCUGCAUUCUUUCCUCUUUCUCUCCAUAAUGCCAUGUUGUAGUACAUCCUUCUUAGCCUCCAAUCAACAUUUCAAGCACUGGGAUCAUGUUUGAUAUUGUCAGAUGGCCUGGAAAAUUAAAAACCCAAUUAAAGGCUCAGCACGCGGGUCAGCUCUUCUGCAUAUCAAAAGGCCUCCUCUGGCUAUUCUGCUCAAAUUGUAUCUGUUAACAGCUCACUUUGCAGAAAGUGAAAUAGCAGAGCGUUUAUGAGUAAUAAGUACUUUCCAGCUGAUACAUUUCAAACAUAAACCACUUUCAUGGCCCCGGCAAAAAGUACAAGUCAUAAUCAAAUUGUCAAUUUUUUCCUGUGAGAUGCAUGGAUCUAUUGUAACUGUGAUUGUUAAAGGAAAUGCAUUUUAUUCACAUGUUGGGGGAAAAAAAGAUGCACAUUUUCCCUACAAUUAAAGAUUUUUUUGUCACUUUUUUACUGCCUUUCCUUUACAUUUCUAAAUAGUUACUAUAAUUGAUUUUCGGGUUGCAUUCUUUUUUUUUUUUUGGUAGGAGAAUCAUUUAUAGUUUUUAUGUAGUGGAAGAAAUGGUUGGAGUGAAUAGCAUUUUUGUUUAGCUGGGGUAUUAAUGUUCACCCAAAUGUUUAUAAUGUGAAUGUGCAAAGCACUAAAAGCUUUCGAGCUAAAUGCAAAUUAGUCGAGCACUCAAAUGACAUUUUUAGAAGGAGUUUUCAUCUGUCAAUGUGGCAUAAUAUUAAGUCAAACUAAAGUCACUACUUUAGCUACUGGCCAUUUGAAAAAAAUUUUCAUAAGAUACCAGGGUUGACAGAAAAGAAAACAAACUACAUAAAUAUUUUUCAACAUAUUAUAUGAACCAAGCAGCUGCUACAGGAUUUCACAAGAAGUUAGCAUAUAAUGUCUCCACUUAGAAUAUAUUGUGAGUGUAUGCAAUGUCAAAAAUCUAAAUCCCUGGGUUUUGCAUAAUGCAUUAAGGUCCACAUCUAGACAAGAAAGAUUUUUCAAAGAAAUGUCACGUGAUGAAAUAACACAUAUUUCCCUCAGUUAAAAAAAAAUAAAAAUAAUCUUGGUGAUAAUCCAAAAAAUAUUGCAAAUUAUUAAAAUGAGUACCCACUGCAAAGUGCAUUUUUAUACCUCAGAUUAUGCCUCUUGAAAUAAACACUACUGUUUCUAAGUGUUUCCUGUGUCUAUUGGUUAAUUAUUUGUAGUGAGUACUUGAUCUCUAUAUUGUUUUCAAAACAAGAACCUACUAGGACCUAAAGUAAUUGUCUAGGAUUAUUGAGAAUCCGGACUCAUCACAGGAAAGAGAAUUGGUAGCUACAAUAGAAGGCUCACCUUAAACCCACCUCCACUGCACCUAGAUAUAGUAAGCCCAAACUCACCCCACUGUUUGAGGCACUGGCAACACGAGGUGGAAUGGAGGGUUGUUGUCAUUAAUGGAGGAUGAGCCUGCACGCUGAUGCUUUAAAAUCUGCAUUUGGUGGACUCAUUGCCACCGUAUAUGUUGACAUUCUCUUCCAAUAUGUCCACAUACCCCUUGAUGCUUUUUCUUCUCACUGUAAAUAAUAUUUUAUUGUGCAUUUCACAGAUGCCAAUAAUGUAUUUUAAAGUGAGGUGCUCCCUUUUUUCCAUAAAAGGGGAAAAAUAAAAGAUGGAGGAAGAGCUUCAAAUUUUACUUCCAACCCUCUUUAUUGACUUCAUUUAUUAGUAACUGGGUGGUUUUUCAUCUAGUCUUCAAUACAUUUUUAAAGAUUUUUCCAAGCUUGGGACAUUGGUCUCAAAACACA